rnacentral:rRNA from 1 species
GACGAACGCUGGCGGCGUGCCUAAUACAUGCAAGUAGAACGCUGAGGGAGGAGCUUGCUUCUCUGGAUGAGUUGCGAACGGGUGAGUAACGCGUAGGUAACCUGCCUUGUAGCGGGGGAUAACUAUUGGAAACGAUAGCUAAUACCGCAUAAGAGUAGAUGUUGCAUGAUAUUUGCUUAAAAGGUGCAAUUGCUUCACUACCACACGGACCUGCGCUGCAUUAGCUAGUUGGUGGGGUAUCGGCUUACUAAGGCGACGAUACAUAGUCGAACGGAGAGGGGGGUUGGCCGCACUGAGAGUGUGACACGGCCCAGAGGCCUUCGGGAGGCAGCAGUAGGGAUACGGCGGGAAGAGGCGGGAGUCUGAGCGAGCAGCGCCGAGGGAGUAAAGAGGAAUGUCGGGUCGUAGAGCUCUGUUGUAGGGGAGGAACGAGUGUGAGAGUGGAAAGUUCACUGUGUGACGGUAUCUUGCCAGAAAGGGACGGCUAACUACGUG